rnacentral:SRP_RNA from 1 species
UCGUGCUAGGCGGGGAGGUAGCGGUGCCCUGUUCCCGCAAACCGCUAUAGCGGGGCUGAAUUCCCACCCGAGGGUUUAUCUUGUGGGGUCCGGCAGACGUAAGUGGUGAGGACUUUUGGGUCCCACGCAACUGGAACUCCUGAACCGUGUCAGGUCCGGAAGGAAGCAGCACUAAGGGAACCCUUCAGUGUGCCGUGGGGCAGCCUGGAAAGAGCUAACUGCAUCUGUAACGCCCGGAAGGUUAAUUCGGAGGUGGGUGCACGG